rnacentral:rRNA from 1 species
UGGGGAAUUGUUCGCAAUGGGCGCAAGCCUGACGACGCAACGCCGCGUGGAGGAUGAAGGUCUUCGGAUUGUAAACUCCUGUUGAUCGGGACGAAAAGCUUUGACCUAACACGUCAAAGACUGACGGUACCGGUUGAGGAAGCCACGGCUAACUCUGUGCCAGCAGCCGCGGUAAUACAGAGGUGGCAAGCGUUGUUCGGAAUUACUGGGCGUAAAGGGCGCGUAGGCGGCCUUCUAAGUCGGACGUGAAAGCCCCAGGCUUAACCUGGGAACUGCGUCCGAUACUGGAAGGCUUGGAUUCGGGAGAGGGAUGUGGAAUUCCAGGUGUAGCGGUGAAAUGCGUAGAUAUCUGGAGGAACACCGGUGGCGAAGGCGGCAUCCUGGACCGAGAUCGACGCUGAGGCGCGAAAGCUAGGGGAGCAAACGGG